rnacentral:lncRNA from 1 species
CAGAAUUCAAAGCACAGAACAACUAUUUGCUAUUGCCACCAGCAAUAUAAACCUUUGUUCAUCAACUUUCACAAACCGUAACCUUCUUAAUUGAAUCAAAGGCUAAUCGCUCUUAUGGAAUUCACUAUCAAAUUCUAUGAGAUCAUUACAUAAUUGCAGUGGUGCAUCUUCACUGGCACAAAUAUAAAAUUAAUCUUCUGAAAUUUUAGUUGAUCCAUACAUAUAUAUGAGUAAAAAGAAGCAUUAUUUUAAGUACAUUGGUUGCGCCCAACAAUUACCUACGGGUUACUGUUUCAGGUUCUAUACUCGAUUCCGGAAGCAGUAAACAGUGUCAUGGGUCUAUGCACAGGGAAGUCUCCCUUGCCUCUGUUUCUGUCUUCAUGUGCUGAACCUAUGGUGAAUGCAAUAGUGCUCGUUGGAGGGAGCUCCCAAUACCUCCAGAGAGAGUCUUAAUCUCAGGUUGUUUGUGGUUAAUUGGUUGUUUUAUUCCUUGAAUCCAUCUCUAUAAAUAAGAUAUUUUUACAAGCAGUGACACAGUUCUAAAACAAAUUAUUUUCCUACUAGAUAAAAUGAAAUAAACAAAUAAAGAUAAUUCUGAUCCUAAAAGAAGUGAUAAGAUCAUGAAAAAAUAGUUCUUAUCCUAACAGAACAGAUAAGAGAAUGAAAAUAGUUCUUAUCCUAAAAGAGAUAAGUUAAUGAAGAUGAGAUGCGGAUAAACAACCAGCUUCUUAAUCCUGCUUUCCAAGAGUCCUACGCCGCUGGUAAAUUUUAUUUGGGUAUUAGCAGAAGACUCCAAAAAGAAAAGAAAGUGCACAAUAAUUUUGAGAUAAAAAAAAAAAAAAGACAAAAAUUAUGGGCCGAGGGAGUACCCUUUAGUUGGACAUUUUGGCUAUCAUAUACUUAUAUCAAGCAAGCUUGAAUAAGCAAAUAACUUUCCUCAUAGUGAGAAAUUACCUGUUCUUCAUCCUCAAAGAUGGCCGGAGUUUCCAUUCUUCCUGCUGAAGUUUUGCUAUCAAAACGUGUCCAAGAGAUGGU